UUCCCUCAUUAACUACCUUAAUGAGCCUUCUAUGGCACAGUUAGCACUCUCUCUCGUCUUCUUCCCCAAAUUAAACUCUGUCUCAGCUUUCUCUCACAACUUCAUCAGCUCAGCUCACCCUCUGCACCUAUCCUCACCCCGACAGACUCAACCCACCCAACCAUAACCUCUGCUUCACACACAACGGCGACGGUGGCCCAACCCCAACUCUUAUCUCUAUUCGGAGACUCCAACCCCAUUCGAACCCUAAACGAACCAAAGAGGUUCAUUUUCUCACAGCCAUUUCGCACCAUAUUCUUUGGCUGUCUAGGGUCGAUUUCGCACCCAGCCCGUGUCCUCCGUCUCUUGGCCCUUAGAUUUCGCACGCCCACUACAACAAUUUUGUUAUAUAUCUAAUAAUGUUUUGACAAAUAAUUUCAAUUUCUAAUUUGAUGAAAGCAUAAGUCUCGUUUCUCUGAUCUAUCUCUCUUCACCCGGUCGCUCUUCAAUUUCUCAUCAUCGUCGUCACCAUCAACAUCGCCAUUGCUCCCAAUCUCAAGCUUUGGCAUGGGGCUGCAAUCUUUUGUAAAGUUAUCAGUUAUGAACUCUAAGGUGGCUAAGUUUGUAAGGUUAGUUUACUCAAAUCUUACAUAUUAUCAGCUAAAUUUCCUCUAAUAUUAUAUUAUAUUGGGCUGCAUUUUAGUUGUUCAAUAAAUAUUCAUUAUACAAAACUAACCAUUGUGAUUGUAAAUUUCCUUGUACAGAUUUGUGGAGUAUAAAUCUGAUAGGUCUCAAAGUUAUGAGAAUAACUUAUAGCCUAUUAAUAGUAUGUAAUUAACUUAAUAGUCUUAUGGUCUUCAUGAGAUUAAUAGAUGACUAUAUAUAUGAGAUUAAUAGAUGGCUAUAUGAGAUUAAUAGAUGACUAUAUAAGAUUGAGAUGAGAUAACUUAUAGCCUAUUAAUAGUAUGUAAUUAACUUAAUAGUCUUAUGGUCUUUAUGGAACAUAUCAUUGAACUAUAUGCCUUGUCUAGACAUUUUUUAUUGUGUUUAUGUGAUCUUUUAUUAACUAAGGUUGAGUCAAAGAAUAAUUAUAUGUUCGUGUAGUUAUUUCUGUGUUAUGCUAGACCUUCUUUAAAUGUUCGUCUAGAGCGUAUCUCAUGAGAUUGCUUCAUGAAUGAUGGUGCACUAGCUGAAGUUAUCACUUUAUAUGAAAAAAUGGAUGAUUGUAAUCCACUAGAUGAUUGAAACCAAAAAACAGAAGUGACAAAAAAGGGAGACUGUCAUUUCAGCGAAUGAGGCAAGAAAUUCUUUACAUUUUCAUGAACAAUCUCUAAUUUUAUGUUUUUUAAGUCUAUUAUUUUCUUUAUAAUUUCUCUUUUACAGAUCUUUCACUAGUUAAUUAUAUCUCUUGAAUGUUUAAUCCUUAUAAAUUAUUAUGAAACUACAUUUAUAGCUCUUUGUCAUGUGUAAGAAAUUACAAAAUCUUAAUUAUUUGCCUUAAAAAUUUGUCAUGGUCUUUUUUUUGUUCAAAUAUAUUAGUUACUAUUAAACUUUAUUUUUAUUCCAUUUGCUAUCUUUUGUUAUAAUGUUUAAAGGGGAACAUGAACAUGACAGAUUUGGUCAUCCAAGCAUUACCCUUGACUAUUCGUUAUCUAAAACAAUUUAGUUUUGAAAGGUUAUUUUCUCAAGGGGUUUCUUUUAGGCCCUUAUCCAACAACUUCGAGAUGACCCUAUCUGCCAAUGCAAUUCAACAGUUGGAGGUAUAUGCUCUUUUAUUAGUUAUGUUAUAAACAUUGUUUCUAUUUUGAAGUUUCCACAUGAUGAUGGUUUGGACUGUGAAUUGCUAAUAUCGGCAAUCUUCCUACCUACUAACUGCAGCCUCUAGUGAUUUUGCAGAACAACAAUGAUUGGUCCGAAUUGGGCUCUUUGUUGCAGUCCAUGGAUCACACUUUUACUAUAUUUGGUUCAAGGCUUCUUAGGCACCGGGUAUGGAACAAUGCUUGACAAUGUCAUUAGUCUUAAGGUAGUUCUUGCCAAUGGAGAUGUCAAGACAGCAUCUCUUGCAUGAAAGAGUGUUGCAGGUUGUUGACUUUGAGAAUAAAAAUACAACAUGGUUGUGGACUUGUGGUGCUUAGAGAUCAUCUUUCAAAGUGACUCCCAAUAAGCAGUUCAAGCAAUAUUGGCAUCACAGAUCAUGCCUACAUAUCCAGCUCCUCAGAGAAUGUUUUAAGAGUUUGAGGGGCAGGUGCCUUCACUUUUUUUUUUUGUUUGUUUAUUGCAUUGCUAGUUUCUUUGUUGUUCAUUUAAUUUAGUUUAUACUGGGUAGCUUAUUUUAUUUUUUUUGUUGGUAACUCUGAUUCAUUC